rnacentral:rRNA from 1 species
UACGUAGGGGGCUAGCGUUGUCCGGAUUUAUUGGGCGUAAAGAGCGUGUAGGCGGCCAGGUAGGUCUGCUGUGAAAACUCGAGGCUCAACCUCGAGACGUCGGCGGAAACCAUCUGGCUAGAGUCCGGAAGAGGAGAGUGGAAUUCCUGGUGUAGCGGUGAAAUGCGCAGAUAUCAGGAAGAACACCGGUGGCGAAGGCGGCUCUCUGGGACGGUACUGACGCUGAGACGCGAAAGCGUGGGGAGCGAACAGG